GACGAACGCUGGCGGCGUGCUUAACACAUGCAAGUCGAACGGAGAGGCCCUGCUUUUGUGGGGUGCUCGAGUGACGAACGGGUGAGUAACACGUGAGUAACCUGCCCUUGACUUUGGGAUAACUUCAGGAAACUGGGGCUAAUACCGGAUAGGAGCUCCUGCUGCAUGGUGGGGGUUGGAAAGUUUCGGCGGUUGGGGAUGGACUCGCGGCUUAUCAGCUUGUUGGUGGGGUAGUGGCUUACCAAGGCUUUGACGGGUAGCCGGCCUGAGAGGGUGACCGGCCACAUUGGGACAGAGAUACGGCCCAGACUCCUACGGGAGGCAGCAGUGGGGAAUAUUGCACAAUGGGCGGAAGCCUGAUGCAGCAACGCCGCGUGCGGGAUGACGGCCUUCGGGUUGUAAACCGCUUUCGCCUGUGACGAAGCGUGAGUGACGGUAAUGGGUAAAGAAGCACCGGCUAACUACGUG
rnacentral:rRNA from 1 species